ensembl:misc_RNA Metazoa_SRP Metazoan signal recognition particle RNA
GCUGGCAUGGUGGUGCAUGCCUGUAAUCCCAGCUACUCAGGAGGCUGAGGUAGGAGGAUCACUUGAGCCCAGGAGGUCAGGGCUGCAGUGAGCUAUGAUGGCACUACUGCACUCUAGCCAGGGCAACAGAGUGAAACCCUGUCUCAA